rnacentral:rRNA from 1 species
UGGCUCAGGAUGAACGCUGGCGGCGUGCUUAACACAUGCAAGUCGAACGGAGAUGUUAUGUGAGCGGAGAGUGCUUGCACUUAACAAUCUUUUAACAUCUUAGUGGCGGACGGGUGAGUAACGCGUGGGUAACGUGCCUCAUACAGGGGGAUAACACUUAGAAAUAGGUGCUAAUACCGCAUAAGCGCACAGGAUCGCAUGAUUUGGUGUGAAAAACUCCGGUGGUAUGAGAUGGACCUGCGUCUGAUUAGCUAGUUGGUGAGGUAACGGCCCACCAAGGCGACGAUCAGUAGCCGGCCUGAGAGGGUGAACGGCCACAUUGGGAGUGAGACACGGUCCAAACUCCUACGGGAGGCAGCAGUGAGGAAUAUUGGUCAAUGGGCGCAAGCCUGAACCAGCCAAGUAGCGUGAGGGAAGACUGCCCUACGGGUUGUAAACCUCUUUUGUUUGGGAAUAAAGUGCGGGACGCGUCCCGCAUUGCAUGUACCAUUUGAAUAAGCAUCGGCUAACUCCGUGCCAGCAGCCGCGGUAAUACGGAGGAUGCGAGCGUUAUCCGGAUUUAUUGGGUUUAAAGGGAGCGUAGACGGGAUGUUAAGUCAGUUGUGAAAUGCUGUGGCUCAACCAUAGCACUGCAGUUGAUACUGGCGUUCUUGAGUGCGUAUGAGGUACGUGGAAUUCGUGGUGUAGCGGUGAAAUGCUUAGAUAUCACGAAGAACUCCUAUUGCGAAGGCAGCGUACCAAUCCGUAACUGACGUUGAGGCUCGAAAGUGUGGGUAUCAAACAGGAUUAGAUACCCUGGUAGUCCACACGGUAAACGAUGGAUACUCGCUGUUGGCGAUAUACUGUCAGCGGCCAAGUGAAAACGUUAAGUAUCCCACCUGGGGAGUACGCCGGCAACGGUGAAACUCAAAGGAAUUGACGGGGGCCCGCACAAGCGGAGGAACAUGUGGUUUAAUUCGAUGAUACGCGAGGAACCUUACCCGGGCUUAAAUUGCAGAGGACAGUCCCAGAGACGGGAUCUUCUUCGGACCUCUGUGAAGGUGCUGCAUGGUUGUCGUCAGCUCGUGCCGUGAGGUGUCGGCUUAAGUGCCAUAACGAGCGCAACCCUUGCUUCCAGUUGCCAUCAGGUCAUGCUGGGGACUCUGGAAGGACUGCCAUCGUAAGAUGUGAGGAAGGUGGGGAUGACGUCAAAUCAGCACGGC